UAUAAAAAUGUAGGUAAGGGAAGUUGUCAAAAAAGAUCCUUAACUUCGGGAUAAGGAUUGGCUCUAAGGGCUGGGUCGGUUGAGCUGGGGUGCGAAGCGGGGCUGGGCUCGAGCCGUGGCUGGGGAAGGAGUCGCUCCAUCGCCAUCCUCUCGCCACCAUUGGAAGUUUGUUGUUCGGCCCAUCUCGCAUUCUCUCAUGCGUGGUCUCGCAAGGGGCUGCGUGUGGGGGUUCGUCGGGGUGGUGUCCGUCAGGGGGCCGAAGUCGGACCGGUGGGUGGUUGGGUCCGGCGGUUGGCGACAGCAACUCUGGAUGCGCGCCGGGCCCUUCUCGUGGAUCUCCCCAGCUAUGGCGCUCACCGGCCCCACACAUUGUAGGUGGGGAGGUCUCCUCUACGCUCACUAGACUUGAGGCAGAGACUAAACCCAUUGGCCCCGCAGUGAUGGGGCAUUGCAUGGAUUUGACUCAUGCCCUACGAAGUGGGAGAGGUAUCUCCAGCUUGUCUGGGGAGGGAGGCCUACAUUUGAUGUGGGUAGUACACGCCCAUUGAUUUGCUGCGGAACCAUAAAAUGGACGGAAGAAGCCUAGGUUCCCACUGGGCACGGAUCACUGAAUGUCAACUUGAUGAAAUUCAAAGGAGCAUACCCACCUAUCGCGGUCGCACUCAAAUCACCCGUGGGGUAACUGUGACCCCCUCAUGUCAAAGUGAGGAAUAUCGAUGAAGCGCUGGUAAAGGUGGUUCCUAUGGUUCUGUCCCGGAGGGCCACCUGGGCAAGCAAAUGAUUGAAAGGGGAUGAUUAUUUUCUGUUGCUUCUACCGUCACCCGGUCGAUGGUGCCGCUAGAUACUGCGAUGGGUAUUUGGUUCUCAAGCCUAUAAGUAUUGGGCUGGCACUUGAUGUCGAUUGGGUGUAAAAACCCAGUUAAAGUCCGCUGAAGGUUAGUAGCGGCAACUGAUGUCCAGUUUGUAAGACAGAAAAGCCUCUGAUGAUACCACCGGGCGUGACUCAAAUGGAUGUCAAUUUGAUGAUAUCUGACCGUUGCAUGCUACCCUUCGCGGUCGCACUCAAACCACCUUUGGGGUGGCUGUGACCCCCUCAUGUCAAAGUGAGGAAAUUCGAUGAAGCGGGGGUAAACGGUGGGACAUAAUUAAGAGUCUCUUGAGGUAGCCAAAUGCCUCGUCAUCUAAUUAGUGAUGCGCAUGAAUGGAUGAACGAGAUUCCCACUGUCCCUACCUACUAUCUAGCGAAACCACAGUCAAUGGAACAGGCUUUA
rnacentral:ncRNA from 1 species